rnacentral:lncRNA from 1 species
GGAAAAGUGGAAGGAAGUGACGAGGCUGAACAAUAUCACUUGCUUCAAUUCGGCUGGGAGGGAUCAGCUACCUUUCAGUUCCUAUUAAGUGAAUUCAGUUUUAGGGCCCAUGAGCAUUUUCCCAAAAGAUUCCUUUAGAUCCGGCCCCUCCCCUCUUUUAGUUAGACUGACCUCAGGUGGAAUUACAAGUGUCCCCAGUCCGCUCAGCGCUGUUAGUAGGAUUUGGCAUCCAUCCCCUAUUCGCGCGGGACCCCCCCCUCACCAGCGUAUCCCUACCUGUUGGAUAGGUCUUACUUCCUGGAAACACCUGCUGUCCUUACAAGGGGAGCAGCCGUCGCCUUAGAAUCCUAGUCUGUCCUUUCCUGGUGAAGGGGGGCGCCUGUGCUUAAGUGCUGGCUUAGCCACCAGAAGUGUCCAGCAGGAUUCAAUAGCCCUGAAGUGGGUAGCCUUAUUCCAACCCCAGUCCUGUUUAGCGGGGCUUCCACACUCUGAGAACCACCGAGAAGCUCUUGGCCAGCCCUGGAGCAACCGGUCAAUUCUAGGGGCCUCCUCGCCCGGUUCGGCGUCCUGGGCACGCGGCAGCGGGACAGGACGCCUUGUGCCCACGGACCGACGCCGGCUGCCAGUCCGACUGCGGCUGACACUCCCGCCGUGGCCGCUGCUGCAAACCGGUCUGGCUUCCCUGCAGGGCGUGCGGGGAUGGAGCGAGGGGGUGGAGAGAAAGGGGAAGAGCCUGGGCGGCCGGCGGGCGGGGCCUGCAGCCUCCCGGAGCCGCGGCAGCCGCCGAGCAGCCUGCUCUCUCCGCGCCUCUCUCCGACUCCGGUGCGCGCUGCGCGGGGACCCGCGCCCGAGCCCGGGGGGCGCCGCGGCUCCUCGGCCUCUGUCCCCGGACUCGCCUCGCCUAGGCUGCGCCCGGACGCAGAGCUGCUGGCCUUUGGGGGCCGCCCGCUGCUCUAUCUGGCCAGAGGACCGACGGGGAAGGAAGGGGAAAGCGGGGACACACACACUCGCCGGGCGCGCGCGCAUUGCACACUCGCAGCCGCGCGCCCCCGCCGAGGCGCGGCCGGGGCGAGUUUGGCCCCGCGGCUUCGGGCCCGGCACCUGCCCGCCCCCGGCACGGUCCCCGGGCCCCGCCCCGCCGACCCUCCCGCCCCUCGCCUGCGCUGCUGUCCCUUCGCCCGGGAAAGCGACAACAUCCCGACAACUUACAGGCUGUGGCGCAACUGGUCUGGACCGCCGAGGCUCCUGAAGGCUGCCCGGGUGAGGAACCUGGGAAAGAAAACAGUUUCAACAAUGAGUAGGCCAACCAUCAGUACCAACUACAGAUGACUUGCCAUUUCCUUUUCAAAGAUGUCGUCAGCUGCUGAAAAUGGAGACGCAGCACCUGGCAAACAAAAUGAAGAAAAAACCUAUAAAAAGGUGAGUGUAUUAUUUUCUGUCUUCCCUCAAAAAGAGGACCACUACUGUUCUACUGUUUGGCACUAAUAUUGUUAUACUGAUAUUGUUACAAUA